GACGAACGCUGGCGGCGUGCUUAACACAUGCAAGUCGAACGGAAAGGCCCUGCUUUUGUGGGGUGCUCGAGUGGCGAACGGGUGAGUAACACGUGAGUAACCUGCCCUUGACUUUGGGAUAACUUCAGGAAACUGGGGCUAAUACCGGAUAGGAGCUCCUGCUGCAUGGUGGGGGUUGGAAAGUUUCGGCGGUUGGGGAUGGACUCGCGGCUUAUCAGCUUGUUGGUGGGGUAGUGGCUUACCAAGGCUUUGACGGGUAGCCGGCCUGAGAGGGUGACCGGCCCCAUUGGGACUGAGAUACGGCCCAGACUCCUACGGGAGGCAGCAGUGGGGAAUAUUGCACAAUGGGCGGAAGCCUGAUGCAGCAACGCCGCGUGGGGGAUGACGGCCUUCGGGUUGUAAACCGCUUUCGCCUGUGACGAAGCGUGAGUGACGGUAAUGGGUAAAGAAGCCCCGGCUAACUACGUG
rnacentral:rRNA from 1 species